rnacentral:rRNA from 1 species
GGGUUGUGAGGUUAAGCGACUAAGCGUACACGGUGGAUGCCCUGGCAGUCAGAGGCGAUGAAGGACGUGCUAAUCUGCGAAAAGCGACGGCGAGGUGAUAUGAACCUUUGACCCGUCGAUGUCCGAAUGGGGAAACCCAGUGUGAUUCGUCACACUAUCGUUAACUGAAUACAUAGGUUAACGAGGCGAACCGGGGGAACUGAAACAUCUAAGUACCCCGAGGAAAAGAAAUCAACCGAGAUUCCCCCAGUAGCGGCGAGCGAACGGGGAGCAGCCCGGAGUCUGAAUCAGCUUGUGUGUUAGUGGAAGCGUCUGGAAAGUCGCACGGUACAGGGUGACAGUCCCGUACACGAAAAUGCACAGGUUGUGAACUCGAAGAGUAGGGCGGGACACGUGGUAUCCUGUCUGAAUAUGGGGGGACCAUCCUCCAAGGCUAAAUACUCCUGACUGACCGAUAGUGAACCAGUACCGUGAGGGAAAGGCGAAAAGAACCCCGGCGAGGGGAGUGAAAAAGAACCUGAAACCGUGUACGUACAAGCAGUGGGAGCACCUUCGUGGUGUGACUGCGUACCUUUUGUAUAAUGGGUCAGCGACUUAUAUUCUGUAGCAAGGUUAACCGUAUAGGGGAGCCGCAGGGAAACCGAGUCUUAACUGGGCGUUAAGUUGCAGGGUAUAGACCCGAAACCCGGUGAUCUAGCCAUGGGCAGGUUGAAGGUUGGGUAACACUAACUGGAGGACCGAACCGACUAAUGUUGAAAAAUUAGCGGAUGACCUGUGGCUGGGGGUGAAAGGCCAAUCAAACCGGGAGAUAGCUGGUUCUCCCCGAAAGCUAUUUAGGUAGCGCCUCGUGAACUCAUCUUCGGGGGUAGAGCACUGUUUCGGCUAGGGGGCCAUCCCGGCUUACCAACCCGAUGCAAACUACGAAUACCGAAGAAUGUUAUCACGGGAGACACACGGCGGGUGCUAACGUCCGUCGUGAAGAGGGAAACAACCCAGACCGCCAGCUAAGGUCCCAAAGUCAUGGUUAAGUGGGAAACGAUGUGGGAAGGCACAGACAGCCAGGAUGUUGGCUUAGAAGCAGCCAUCAUUUAAAGAAAGCGUAAUAGCUCACUGGUCGAGUCGGCCUGCGCGGAAGAUGUAACGGGGCUAAACCAUGCACCGAAGCUGCGGCAGCGACACUAUGUGUUGUUGGGUAGGGGAGCGUUCUGUAAGCCGUUGAAGGUGUGCUGUGAGGCAUGCUGGAGGUAUCAGAAGUGCGAAUGCUGACAUAAGUAACGAUAAAGCGGGUGAAAAGCCCGCUCGCCGGAAGACCAAGGGUUCCUGUCCAACGUUAAUCGGGGCAGGGUGAGUCGACCCCUAAGGCGAGGCCGAAAGGCGUAGUCGAUGGGAAACAGGUUAAUAUUCCUGUACUUGGUGUUACUGCGAAGGGGGGACGGAGAAGGCUAUGUCAGCCGGGCGACGGUUGUCCCGGUUUAAGCGUGUAGGUGUGUGUUCCAGGCAAAUCCGGUUCACUUUAACACUGAGGCGUGAUGACGAGGCACUACGGUGCUGAAGUGAUAAAUGCCCUGCUUCCAGGAAAAGCCUCUAAGCAUCAGGUAACACGAAAUCGUACCCCAAACCGACACAGGUGGUCAGGUAGAGAAUACCAAGGCGCUUGAGAGAACUCGGGUGAAGGAACUAGGCAAAAUGGUGCCGUAACUUCGGGAGAAGGCACGCUGAUAUGUAGGUGAAGUCCCUGCGGACGGAGCUGAAAUCAGUCGAAGAUACCAGCUGGCUGCAACUGUUUAUUAAAAACACAGCACUGUGCAAACACGAAAGUGGACGUAUACGGUGUGACGCCUGCCCGGUGCCGGAAGGUUAAUUGAUGGGGUUAGCGGCAACGCGAAGCUCUUGAUCGAAGCCCCGGUAAACGGCGGCCGUAACUAUAACGGUCCUAAGGUAGCGAAAUUCCUUGUCGGGUAAGUUCCGACCUGCACGAAUGGCGUAAUGAUGGCCAGGCUGUCUCCACCCGAGACUCAGUGAAAUUGAACUCGCUGUGAAGAUGCAGUGUACCCGCGGCAAGACGGAAAGACCCCGUGAACCUUUACUAUAGCUUGACACUGAACACUGGUCCUUGAUGUGUAGGAUAGGUGGGCGGCUUUGAAGCGUGGACGCCAGUCUGCGUGGAGCAAUCCUUGAAAUACCACCCUUUAAUGGCUGGUGUUCUAACGUGGACCCGUGAUCCGGGUUGCGGACAGUGUCUGGUGGGUAGUUUGACUGGGGCGGUCUCCUCCCAAAGAGUAACGGAGGAGCACGAAGGUUAGCUAAUCCUGGUCGGACAUCAGGAGGUUAGUGCAAUGGCAUAAGCUAGCUUGACUGCGAGAGUGACGGCUCGAGCAGGUGCGAAAGCAGGUCAUAGUGAUCCGGUGGUUCUGAAUGGAAGGGCCAUCGCUCAACGGAUAAAAGGUACUCCGGGGAUAACAGGCUGAUACCGCCCAAGAGUUCAUAUCGACGGCGGUGUUUGGCACCUCGAUGUCGGCUCAUCACAUCCUGGGGCUGAAGUAGGUCCCAAGGGUAUGGCUGUUCGCCAUUUAAAGUGGUACGCGAGCUGGGUUUAGAACGUCGUGAGACAGUUCGGUCCCUAUCUGCCGUGGGCGCUGGAGAAUUGAGGGGGGCUGCUCCUAGUACGAGAGGACCGGAGUGGACGCAUCACUGGUGUUCGGGUUGUCAUGCCAAUGGCACUGCCCGGUAGCUAAAUGCGGAAGAGAUAAGUGCUGAAAGCAUCUAAGCACGAAACUUGCCCCGAGAUGAGUUCUCCCUGAGACUUUAAGUCUCCUGAAGGAACGUUGAAGACGACGACGUUGAUAGGCCGGGUGUGUAAGCGCAGCGAUGCGUUGAGCUAACCGGUACUAAUGAACCGUGAGGCUUAACCUUACAACGCCGAAG